rnacentral:lncRNA from 1 species
CCACCCUUAAGAAGGGAUAGUUUUUGUGUGACAAAAAGAGAGUUUUUUGGUAUGAGAAACCUCAAAGUUGGUGCAUGAAAAUCUGAGAGUGGGUCAGACUUCUGUGUGUGGGAAACAGAGGAAGUGAUCUUCCUCUUGGGCAUGAGGUUCAGGGUGAGUUAGGUUUCGACUCUAGAUUUUAUGAGAGAAAAAAUACAAGAGUAAGUCUUGUCUAAUCUUUCACACCACCAUCUCCUUGUAAAACUUCAUCUUUUAAUCUAAAAAAAUCCAGAUGAUCU